UUUAGUGUCGGACGUGAAGUUACGAUGUUUGAAUAAUUUAGUCCAUUUGUAUGAUUUAUUUUUCAUUUUGUGCGAAUAUUUUAAUUUACAAAUGUUUAUCGGUCCCACGUAGACAUCCAGACUCCGCUAGUGCCCCGUUGUUUCUGCUGAGCCAACACCUGUACAUUGAUUCUGGCAGAAUGAAGGUGAUGUGCGGGAGUACCACCCAUUUCUGGAGGCCUUGUUUGAACUUAACCUUCCGAAGCUAUUACAAAUUUCCAUUUUCUAAAUUGAAACUGUUGUGCUUAGCGCAUGCUUCAUGUUAAAGACAGAAGAACUGUGCAUUAAAAAUUGGAAAACCAUGUUUUUUAGAACAGGUGUUUGGAUAACCGUAUCGGAAGAUUGCAGAUUAUUGGAGAAUGCUGGGAAGCGACAAUCCAAACAAUGCGCUCAAACACCUCAAUCUUCUCUUUAUAAAGAAUUUCUUUGCCGGCGCCUUAUAAAUAAAAUCAAAACUAAGUCUUACGAAAAUAUUCCACACGUCUGA